UUGGUUUUUUGUAACAAAUUGAGAAGAAUUUCGAAAUGCGGUUAAAGGCUUUGAUAUUUAUACGAAGAAUUCUUAGUUAAUCAAAAUUAUUGUUUUUUGUAUUUUUAUAAGAAAAUUCUUCUAACUUGUUAGGAAUGUAAUAUGAACAAUCCGUAAUAAUGUCAUUGAAAUAAUUAAAAUAAUUAUAUAGUUUUAAUUAUGAAUUAUAACUCACAUAGAAAUAAUUUAGAGAAAUAAGUUGAUUAGAAAUAAGUUGUGGUAAAUUGAUCAGAUUUAUUUGAGUGACACAAUUCGAAUAAACUCUUUGUUGCUCCGCACAAACAAAUAGAUGCAUUGUUAGGCUGGUGACACCAAAGUAUGUAAAUGAGUUUAAAUCACCUUUUGCCAACUUUUUAAUGGUUUGGAUUUUAUAUACAAAUUUGUAAAGUAUACAGUUGCCAUUAGUUAGCAUGUUAAAAAAAGUUUAAAACUCAUGCAAAAAGUUAUUAAGUAUGUGUAAUCAAUUAAAUGCAGAAGUCAUAGAAAGAUACUGGAAAUACUAAAUGAUAUUGAUUAUCUAGUUAACAUUGUCAGCAAAAACUGCAACUUCUUCAAAAGUUUAAUCGAUAAAGAACUUAUUUAAUGUUGUGUUUUUAGUUUGUUAUAGUACCUAUUGUUAUUAUCUGUUUAUUAGUUAUUAUAGUAAUUAUUGUCAAUAACUGGUGUAGUUAUCUACGUACUGGUUUAGCAGGCUAGAUCCAAGCUUCCUUCAACAUUUAUUAGAUUAUAAA